rnacentral:rRNA from 1 species
UACGGAAGGCAGCAGUGGGGAAUAUUGCACAAUGGGCGCAAGCCUGAUGCAGCCAUGCCGCGUGUAUGAAAAAGGCCUUCGGGUUGUAAAGUACUUUCCAGUCGUGAGGAAGGUGUUAAGGUUAAUAACCUUAGCAAUUGACGUUAGCGACAGAAGAAGCACCGGCUAACUCCGUGCCAGCAGCCGCGGUAAUACGGAGGGUGCGAGCGUUAAUCGGAAUUACUGGGCGUAAAGGGCACGCAGGCGGUUAAUUAAGUUGGAUGUGAAAUCCCCGGGCUUAACCUGGGAAUGGCAUUCAAGACUGGUUAGCUAGAGUCUUGUAGAGGGGGUAGAAUUCCAUGUGUAGCGGUGAAAUGCGUAGAGAUGUGGAGGAAUACCGGUGGCGAAGGCGGCCCCUGGACAAAGACUGACGCUCAUGUGCGAAAGCGUGGGGAGCAAACAGGGAUUAGAUAC